GGUGCGAAUGUGGGCUUGAGUUAGGAAGAUGCAGGAGAUUGGAGAAGAUGAGAGCGGAAGGUUUGAAGGCAAUGGCAGCGAAAGCGGUACAGGCGGACCUAUUAGGCUCUUAUAAGCCCGCAACUCCACCUCUCCCACUUCCUGUAUUCUCGGGAAGUUGGCAGGCCAUGCGGCGGACGCGGCGUUUCGGUUUACAAUGAUUAUAGACAAUUAAUGCGGCGGAUUUUUCGUACAAAUUGAUGGUUUCCUUUUCUCAAACCAUGCACAGGCGGUUGCACAAGUUGCCAGGCGCAACUUUUCAUGCAUCCGUCUGACACCCCGUCAGGAGGCCUCGUCACGUCAAUGUUAACUGGGAAGAUCUUUUCAAAAAAAAAAAAACAAGACGACACAUACGCCAGAAAGUCAACAAUCCGGGGACUGCACCGACCAUCGGGCAUUCGACGCCCGGGGACUGGUCGCCCAGUCUAUCAGCUCGGAAUUUCAAGGACUGCGCCGACCACCGAGCACUCGACGCUCGGGGACUGGUCGCCC
rnacentral:lncRNA from 1 species